rnacentral:rRNA from 1 species
GACGAACGCUGGCGGCGUGCUUAACACAUGCAAGUCGAACGGAAAGGCCCUGCUUUUGUGGGGUGCUCGAGUGGCGAACGGGUGAGUAACACGUGAGUAACCUGCCCUUGACUUUGGGAUAACUUCAGGAAACUGGGGCUAAUAUCGGAUAGGAGCUCCUGCUGCAUGGUGGGGGUUGGAAAGUUUCGGCGGUUGGGGAUGGACUCGCGGCUUAUCAGCUUGUUGGUGGGGUAGUGGCUUACCAAGGCUUUGACGGGUAGCCGGCCUGAGAGGGUGACCGGCCACAUUGGGACUGAGAGACGGACCAGACUCCUACGGGAGGCAGCAGUGGGGAAUAUUGCACAAUGGGCGGAAGCCUGAUGCAGCAACGCCGCGUGCGUGAUGACGGCCUUCGGGUUGUAAACCGCUUUCGCCUGUGACGAAGCGUGAGUGACGGUAAUGGGUAAAGAAGCACCGGCUAACUACGUG